GUGAGGUUUUAAACUGAGGCAGACAGCAGGUUGAAGGAUGAAAGCGGGAAGAACAGGGACGAGGUAGCAUGACGGAGCAGAAGAGCAGCAAUGAUCCUGGAGAUGAGCCUGGAGGGAGGAGAGCAAGGAGACAUGGAGACACUUGCCCCCUUCUGCCCUGUUGGCCUGACUUCUGCUUAGAUUGAGGAGGACGUCCCGGCGGUGUCUGGAAGCCCUGCCAACCUGUCUCCAGGUAAACGUGGAUGCACACACACACAGCAGUGAGCAGAAUGCUCAGACGCAGCAGCAGUCCCAGGGUAAGGCGCUCUCUGCCCAUGUCCAUCCACUAGUUUCACCUCAGUCACCUUUAGUCCAUCGCCUCAAGUGGAACCCUUUGCCUCUUCUAUCCCAUUCUUCCUCUCCUUCUAGUCAAAUACUUCCCUUCUUCUCUCCUCUCCUCAGCUCCAAAGUCCACCAUCAGACCAACAAGUGUUGAGUUAAUCAAACAUGUCAAACAAACACGUGAGCAUCUCAGCCUUCAUGUCAGCGCUGAGGCCCUGCUAGCAGACUCCAGUACAAUGCGUGCCACCCUCCUAAAAACUUUUGGAAACUCCCUCCUCACAAAUUCCCCCCUUUUCCCCCCUAACAUGCACGCCCCUUUAAUUUGCUUUCUUUUUCUUUCGAUCAGGCUCACAUCACACAGACACACACACCCCUCUGUGGCUCUGCCCCUUCCCUGGGGUUUGCCUCUCCAGUCCAGCUGGAGUCUCGGGUUACUGAGUAGCUCCAGCGAUGGGCAGGGCCUGCUAGCGCCGCCGCUACGGGUCCAUGCAGGUCUGAGGGAGCAUCUGCUGGCUCUGAGCAUUCUGGAUAAUAACACCCACAGCCAAAACAGUCUCUGCAGAAUGCACAAGAAAUCAAACUUAAGGUGGUAUGAUGAAGUCUUCUGGGCAAAUCUGAGGAGUUAUGUUGGGUUUUGUUGUUGUUAUGCAAAAGAAUCUGGUCAUGUUUAGCUUUUUGCUGUUGAAAAUUCUCAACAAAUUGCUAUAUUAAAAGCAAUCAUCAUCUAUUAUUUAUAUGCAUGUAUGUUACUGUUCAAAAGCAACUUUAACUAAUAUGGAGCAACUUUAAUAUAGAGCAACUUUAACUAAUAAUAUCAACUUUAACUAAUACAGAGCAGCAUUAGUAUGGUGCAACUUUAAUAUAGAUCAACUUUAACUGAUAUAGAGCAACUUUAAUUCACAUAUACUUCCAUUUAAGAGUUUGGGUCACUUAGAAAUGUCCUUAUUUUUGAAAUAAAAGCAGUUUUUGUCAAUGAAGUUAACAUUAAAUGAAUGAUAAAUCCAGUCUAGACAUUGUUAAUGCAGUAAAUGACUAUUCUAGCUGGAAACAGCUGAUUUUUAAUGGAAUAUCUCCAUAGGGGUACAGAGGAACUUUUCCAGCAACCAUCACUCCUGUGUUCUAAUGCUACAUUGUGUUAGCUAAUGGUGCUGAAAGGCUCAUUGAUGAUUAGAAAACCCUUGUGCAGUUAUGUUAGCACAUGGAUAAAAGUGUGGAGAACAUGAUAUAGUCUGGAUGACCCCAAACUUCUGAACGCUGAUGUAUGCAUGUAGGUGUUUCUUCGUGGACUUUAUAGAUUCCUAUAUUCAUUUUCCCAUUCUUACAACUAAUCAGUCACUUGCUAAAACUGAUUUCUGUCCAAUAGUUCCUCACAAAUCUGGCCUCUCAUGUCACUUCAUCUGCUUUGUCUUUGUCAGUGUCAGACACAUGAAUAACCGCUGCUCCUUCUUGCAUUUAUUAUUUCAAUUUAUUCGAUGAUAUUUUAGGUGAAAGAAAACAACAUUCAUCGGAACUGCUAAAGCAAAUGAUUAUUUUUUUUGGAUGUUUCCCUGACUUUGCAGAGGAUCCUAAAUCUAAGGGUAAUGAUGAGGCCGAUUUCCUUCUGCUUUUUAGAAUCAAUGACCAACUUUUGUGUUUGGAUACCGCCUUAUAAAUAGUUCUCUACUGCCCCUUUGGAGCAAAAAUAAUACUACCCUCACCUCUUCAAGGUACAGCAGAAGUUUAGAGGACAGCUCUGCACAUGAGCAACAUGUGCUGUUGUAACUCUUGUGCUGUCACAGGGUCCACUAUGUUUAAUAGCAGAGAAAAACCUUAAAUUACUGUUUGUCAAUUUGAAAUUUGAUGACUUUUCCUAACAUUAGAAAAAAUGAAACAUUGUCUACAAAGACAGCACCCCCACUUCUCUCUUUGCUGAAGCCAUGAGUGCAGUGUUUAGUUUUCAGUGGUCAUAGAUCAGAUUUGACACACUAGCACACUGUCCUACAUGUGCUAAUUAGAGUUUAAUAUGAUCUCGAUACUUUUGUUUUGCAUAUUUUGUUUUAUUUUAUUCUUACUACUGUUGUUAUCUUAGUUCAAGAGCCACAUUCAGCGCAAUUUGAUCUCAAGUGACCAGUAAAAUCACAGCAUAAUAACCUAUAAAUCACCACAAUUACACAUUUUUCCUUUUAGUGCAAAAUUUUCACAUUUAAGGAACUUUGUACAAAACAUCAUGAACAAACUGAAAAUUAUUAGGAAAAAUAUAUUCAGUUUCAACAAAAUUAUGCCUCAGUUUAUCAUUUAAACAUCACAACUUACACAUCAGAGUGUCUGCAAAGGAACAUAAUUUAGUCACAGCUAUGUGGAACUGAACGAUGUAGGAUUUUACUUUAUGAUCAAAGCGACAACAGUCAGACAUUAUCAACACAAAAAACAAAAAAUGAGAUGAACGACACAAAACAAAACAAAAAAGAGGCAAAAAUAGACAAAAAAGUUUGAAAGAUACAACAAAAAAUAUACAAGUGAUAAAAAUUUGACAAAAAAUGAAAAAAGCAAGAAACAAAACAAGAAAAAAUGAGACAAACGCUACAACACAAGAGACAAAAAAUUUGACAAAAAAAACUUAUAAAGCGACAAAGCAAUGAACAAACAACAAAAAUUAUCCAAAAAAAAUGACAAAAGCAAGAAACAAAAUGACAAAUAGUUGGCUAACAACGCAAGUGAGACAAAAAAAACACAAAACGACAAAAACGAUACUCAAAACAACGAAUAAAGCAAAACACAAAACAACAAAAAAAACAUAAUCAAGACAAAAAGGACACACAAAGCAACAAAAACAUGAGACAGAAGUCAGACAAACAAGACAAAACGUUACAAAAAUGAGACACAAAACGACAAAACAACAAUGAACAUUUUACUUGAUGAUCCAAACAACUUGUCAUGGCCUAGAAAUUAUUUUAAAUUAAUAGUUUUACUAAUUUACAAUCUGCAGUUAAUGUCUCCUCUGUAAUUUUUACACUUUGCUAAGUCCUCCUGUAGGCCCCAUGUUUAACACCCCUGCUCUAUUUUCUUACAUGUGGAGGUUUACUUUAGCUAAUGCAACAAAAUGUUUGAAACCCACAGUGAUGCAGACAUCAACAAGACAACCUCUGCUGCCCCCUGGUGGAGGAUCAGGAUCCCUCCAUAUGGAAAGGAUUAAAACAGGAUGUGAGUCUGAUGUGAUGUAGGUCAACCAGGAAUGUAUCUGCUGAUGGUAAUGGAAGGAAUGAGAGCACGACGAAGGAAUCCAUGCAGUUAAAGUGACUGUAAGAACACGCAGAAAUCAUAACGUUACGUGUUGGAAAUAGUCCAGAUGUGUGUGUUUGUAGGUGAACAGUGCAACAUGUGACUGCACACAAACAGGAAUCCAGCUUUCAUUAUGAAAGGAAAUUCCGAAUGUCAGACACAUGUUGUGCAUCAGCUAAAAAACUGUGUUUCUUUGGUGGAUUUUAAAAAUAGAAGGCAGGUUUUUUUCCUCUCUCUGCAGACGGCUUUCCACGUGUUGCAAUGGUUUGUGAGGAUUUGGCAAAAAGCUAAAAACCUGCUGCCAAAUGGAAUGAAUCUGAGUCUGGGUGUUUGUUUUUUCUCUCUCCUCCUGUUCUGUUUUCUCCUUUUCUGUCCUCCACCAGAGCAAGGUGCAGAGAGCAGAGGUCAUGCAAACUUCACCCGCUGGGGUUUCCCUGUUUAGCAUUUGGACUGAAAUCAAAGCAAAAGUCAGAGGUGAGUAGAGGCCCCGCUGUUCCACCUGCAGAUCGACUGGACACCUCUGAGGGCAUCGUACUGCUUAGAAGUUAGCUUCUGUGUGAUUAGGAUGGAGAAAAACAUUUACAAGUCUUAAACCGAGAAUAACUCUGUUAAAUAAUUGCACAGAAGGCGUUAAAAAAGUAAUGCUGCAUCCCACAAUGAAUGAAAACAUGUUAAGAGGACAGAAUAAAAAGGGAAAAUGGGCCUAAGGAUCAAGGAAAAGGGAAAAGGUGACUUACACUACUGUUCAAAAGUUUGGGGUCAUCCAGACAAUUUCAUGUUUUCGAUGAAAAUUCACACUUUUAUCCAUGUGCUAACAUAACUGCACAAGGGUUUUCUAAUCAUCAGUGAGCCUUUCAACACCAUUAGCUAACACAAUGUAGCAUUAGAACACAGGAGUGAUGGUUGCUGGAAAUGUUCCUCUGUACCCCUAUGGAGAUAUUCCAGUACAAAUCAGCUGUUUCCACCUAGAAUAAUCAUUUACCACAUUAACAAUGUCUACACUGGAUUUAUGGUAAAUUUCAUGUUAUCUACUUCGAAAACAUGUUUUUCUGUCAAGAAUAAGGACAUUUCUAAGUGACCCCAAACUCUGAAUGAUAGUGAAACAGGAUGUACAAACAUGAAAUUAUGAUCCAUGUAAAGAUACGCGCAUCUUCAGAUGUAGAAUUUCAAAAUAAAAUGUCUUGUAAACAGACA